rnacentral:rRNA from 1 species
ACGGAGCAACGCCGCGUGAGUGAUGAAGGCUUUCGGGUCGUAAAACUCUGUUGUUAGGGAAGAACAAGUACAAGAGUAACUGCUUGUACCUUGACGGUACCUAACCAGAAAGCCACGGCUAACUACGUGCCAGCAGCCGCGGUAAUACGUAGGUGGCAAGCGUUAUCCGGAAUUAUUGGGCGUAAAGCGCGCGCAGGCGGUUUCUUAAGUCUGAUGUGAAAGCCCACGGCUCAACCGUGGAGGGUCAUUGGAAACUGGGGAACUUGAGUGCAGAAGAGAAAAGCGGAAUUCCACGUGUAGCGGUGAAAUGCGUAGAGAUGUGGAGGAACACCAGUGGCGAAGGCGGCUUUUUGGUCUGUAACUGACGCU